rnacentral:rRNA from 1 species
CCUACGGGUGGCAGCAGUGAGGAAUAUUGGUCAAUGGACGAGAGUCUGAACCAGCCAAGUAGCGUGAAGGAUUACUGCCCUAUGGGUUGUAAACUUCUUUUAUAUGGGAAUAAAAUGUUCCACGUGUGGGAUUUUGUAUGUACCAUAUGAAUAAGGAUCGGCUAACUCCGUGCCAGCAGCCGCGGUAAUACGGAGGAUCCGAGCGUUAUCCGGAUUUAUUGGGUUUAAAGGGAGCGUAGGUGGAUUGUUAAGUCAGUUGUGAAAGUUUGCGGCUCAACCGUAAAAUUGCAGUUGAAACUGGCAGUCUUGAGUACAGUAGAGGUGGGCGGAAUUCGUGGUGUAGCGGUGAAAUGCUUAGAUAUCACGAAGAACUCCGAUUGCGAAGGCAGUUCACUGGACUGCAACUGACACUGAGGCUCGAAAGUGUGGGUAUCAAACAGGAUUAGAUACCCUUGUAGUC